AUAUAAGAAGACAAAA
rnacentral:sRNA from 1 species